GACAGUGCAGUGGAAGGUGUUCCAACGUACACCUAUGAAGAACUAGCCAAAGCAACUGGAAGUUUCUCCAACAAAAACCGCCUUGGCGAGGGUGCUUCUGGUCAAGUUUAUAAGGGAAAACUUCCAAAUGAUAACAAAGUCGUUGCAAUUAAGAGGCUUAAACAUUUUUCUGAUCCGGUGAAAGAGAAAACAGCGCAACAUCAAUUUGAGGAGGAGGCUAAAAUCAUUGGCCGCGUCGAUCAC
rnacentral:misc_RNA from 1 species